rnacentral:lncRNA from 1 species
UUUGGUAAAGCUUUUUCAGGAGGUGCUUGUGCUUUUAAAAAGCACAAGCACGUCAUUUUGCGUUUGGUAAAUUAAAAAGCUCAAGUGCUUGUACUUGCGGCUUUUAAAAGUUAGGGGUGCUUUUGAAAGCACUUAGGAGGGAGCUUUUCAAAGCUGGCUUAUGCUUACCAAAUUUUUUUCAUUUUCCCGCACAUAUUUCCCGCUAUUAUAUUGCCAUUAAAAUCUUCAUAUAUUUCUAACUUCUCUUCCUAACCUUCAUAAAAUCUAACACAAUCUUCAUAUAUUUUUUUAUUUUUCAACCUAAUCUUCACAAAUUUCAACACAAAUACAUUUCUAUCACAUAUUAGGUAUGAACUUCUAUCUAUUU